AUUGAACGCUGGCGGCAGGCCUAACACAUGCAAGUCGAACGGUAACAGGAAACAGCUUGCUGUUUCGCUGACGAGUGGCGGACGGGUGAGUAAUGUCUGGGAAACUGCCUGAUGGAGGGGGAUAACUACUGGAAACGGUAGCUAAUACCGCAUAACGUCGCAAGACCAAAGAGGGGGACCCUCGGGCCUCUUUCCAUCGGAUGCGCCCAGAUGGGAUUAGCUUGUUGGUGGGGUAACGGCUCAACAAGGCGACGAUCCCUAGCUGGUCUGAGAGGAUGACCAGCCACACUGGAGCUGAGACACGGUCCAGACUCCUACGGGAGGCAGCAGUGGGGAAUAUUGCACAAUGGGCGCAAGCCUGAUGCAGCCAUGCCGCGUGUAUGAAGAAGGCCUUCGGGUUGUAAAGUACUUUCAGCGGGGAGGAAGGGAGUAAAGUUAAUACCUUGGCUCAUUGACGUUACCCGCAGAAGAAGCACCGGCUAACUCCGUG
rnacentral:rRNA from 1 species